rnacentral:rRNA from 1 species
UGGGGAAUAUUGCACAAUGGGCGCAAGCCUGAUGCAGCCAUGCCGCGUGUGUGAAGAAGGCCUUCGGGUUGUAAAGCACUUUCAGCGGGGAGGAAGGCGAUAAGGUUAAUAACCUUGUCGAUUGACGUUACCCGCAGAAGAAGCACCGGCUAACUCCGUGCCAGCAGCCGCGGUAAUACGGAGGGUGCAAGCGUUAAUCGGAAUUACUGGGCGUAAAGCGCACGCAGGCGGUCUGUCAAGUCGGAUGUGAAAUCCCCGGGCUCAACCUGGGAACUGCAUUCGAAACUGGCAGGCUAGAGUCUUGUAGAGGGGGGUAGAAUUCCAGGUGUAGCGAUGAAAUGCGUAGAGAUCUGGAGGAAUACCGGUGGCGAAGGCGGCCCCCUGGACAAAGACUGACGCUCAGGUGCGAAAGCGUGGGGAGCAAACAGG